AAAGCUUGCUUUUUAAGCUUAGUGGCGAACGGGUGAGUAACGCGUGGGUAACCUGCCUCAUACAGGGGAAUAACAGUUGGAAACGGAUGCUAAAACCGGAUAGGUAGCAGACAAGCAUUUGACUGCUAUUAAAGUGGCCUUGGCCAUGAACAUGGAUGGACCUGCGGUGCAUUAGCUGGUUGGUGAGGUAACGGCCCACCAAGGCGACGAUGCAUAGCCGGCCUGAGAGGGCGGACGGCCACAUUGGGACUGAGACACGGCCCAGACUCC
rnacentral:rRNA from 1 species